ACACUGAGGCGUGAUGACGAGGCACUACGGUGCUGAAGCAACAAAUGCCCUGCUUCCAGGAAAAGCCUCUAAGCAUCAGGUAACAUCAAAUCGUACCCCAAACCGACACAGGUGGUCAGGUAGAGAAUACCAAGGCGCUUGAGAGAACUCGGGUGAAGGAACUAGGCAAAAUGGUGCCGUAACUUCGGGAGAAGGCACGCUGACACGUAGGUGAAGUGAUUUACUCAUGGAGCUGAAGUCAGUCGAAGAUACCAGCUGGCUGCAACUGUUUAUUAAAAACACAGCACUGUGCAAACACGAAAGUGGACGUAUACGGUGUGACGCCUGCCCGGUGCCGGAAGGUUAAUUGAUGGGGUCAGCGCAAGCGAAGCUCCUGAUCGAAGCCCCGGUAAACGGCGGCCGUAACUAUAACGGUCCUAAGGUAGCGAAAUUCCUUGUCGGGUAAGUUCCGACCUGCACGAAUGGCGUAAUGAUGGCCAGGCUGUCUCCACCCGAGACUCAGUGAAAUUGAACUCGCUGUGAAGAUGCAGUGUACCCGCGGCAAGACGGAAAGACCCCGUGAACCUUUACUAUAGCUUGACACUGAACAUUGAGCCUUGAUGUGUAGGAUAGGUGGGAGGCUUUGAAGUGUGGACGCCAGUCUGCAUGGAGCCGGCCUUGAAAUACCACCCUUUAAUGUUUGAUGUUCUAACGUGGACCCGUGAUCCGGGUUGCGGACAGUGUCUGGUGGGUAGUUUGACUGGGGCGGUCUCCUCCUAAAGAGUAACGGAGGAGCACGAAGGUUGGCUAAUCCUGGUCGGACAUCAGGAGGUUAGUGCAAUGGCAUAAGCCAGCUUGACUGCGAGCGUGACGGCGCGAGCAGGUGCGAAAGCAGGUCAUAGUGAUCCGGUGGUUCUGAAUGGAAGGGCCAUCGCUCAACGGAUAAAAGGUACUCCGGGGAUAACAGGCUGAUACCGCCCAAGAGUUCAUAUCGACGGCGGUGUUUGGCACCUCGAUGUCGGCUCAUCACAUCCUGGGGCUGAAGUAGGUCCCAAGGGUAUGGCUGUUCGCCAUUUAAAGUGGUACGCGAGCUGGGUUUAGAACGUCGUGAGACAGUUCGGUCCCUAUCUGCCGUGGGCGCUGGAGAACUGAGGGGGGCUGCUCCUAGUACGAGAGGACCGGAGUGGACGCAUCACUGGUGUUCGGGUUGUCAUGCCAAUGGCACUGCCCGGUAGCUAAAUGCGGAAGAGAUAAGUGCUGAAAGCAUCUAAGCACGAAACUUGCCCCGAGAUGAGUUCUCCCUGAGACUUUAGGUCUCCUGAAGGAACGUUGAAGACGACGACGUUGAUAGGCCGGGUGUGUAAGCGCAGCGAUGCGUUGAGCUAACCGGUACUAAUGAACCGUGAGGCUUAACCUUACAACGCCGAAG
rnacentral:rRNA from 1 species